rnacentral:lncRNA from 1 species
ACACAGCGGCACCCAGUGACCGGCCCUGGCUUUGAUCUUGGGAGCUUUCCUCGCCACCCAAGAGGCUCUGAGGUCAUCUCUGUCUCAGAAAAUCAGCAAGAUCAACAGCAGGACAGUAGGGACUGCCGGCCACUGUCAUCUGCAUCAUGUUCAGAUUUUAUUGCUCCUGCUUCAUGAUAUCAAAGCCACAUGAUGAUAUCUGUGACUGGUGCAGAACAGCCCAGAUGGUUCUGGAAGCACCGUGGUCUGACCCGUCCUGACAGAUGAUCCAGUCAUGAAAUGCUGGUGCCGGUGUGGUUGGAGCUGUCCUCUCCUCUUUUCACUCUCUGGAAUCAAGACCCUGAAGUCCAG